rnacentral:lncRNA from 1 species
UUAGUCCUUUUAUACCUGUUUUUCUCCUUCUCUUAUUCCAUUUAGUUUUUCAAUUCAUACAAAACCGUAUCCAGGCCAUCACCAAUCAUUCUAUAUGAUAAAUGUUUCUUCUAACAACCCCACAGUAUCACCCCUUACCACAAAAUCUUCCUUCAGCUUAAUCUCUCCCACUCUAGGUUCCCACGCCGCCCCAACACUUCAACACUAUUUUAUUUUUCUUAUUAAUAUAAGAAGUAACUGAAGAAUCACAAAAGAAGUGAAAAGGCCCUGCCCUGCCUUAACUGAUGACAUUCC